rfam:Picea glauca, whole genome shotgun sequence.
CCGACCUUAGCUCAGUUGGUAGAGCGGAGGACUGUAGUGGGAUACAAAAUCCUUAUUGGAAUCCUUAGGUCACUGGUUCGAAUCCGGCAGGUCGGA